rnacentral:lncRNA from 1 species
AAAGAAUAGUCCUUCACUUUUCACUAAUUUCACUUUAUGCCCUCUAUAUAGGGUGCAGGAGAUCCAAGCUGCCAAAAAGAACACAGAAGAAAACUGAAGAGUUAUCCAAGUCCAGCAGUAAGACAAAAGUCAAGAUAAUCUGAC